GUCUACGGCCAUACCACCCUGAACGCGCCUGAUCUCGUCUGAUCUCGGAAGCGAAGCAGGGUCGCGCCUGGUUAGUACUUGGAUGGGAGAUAAUGUUGUGAGUUUGAGAUUGCAUAAUUU
rnacentral:rRNA from 1 species